rnacentral:miRNA from 1 species
UGACUCUGCCUGUAGGCCGGU